AUUGAACGCUGGCGGCAGGCUUAACACAUGCAAGUCGAGCGGUAACAGGAGAAGCUUGCUUCUCGCUGACGAGCGGCGGACGGGUGAGUAAUACUUAGGAAUCUACCUAGUAGUGGGGGAUAGCUCGGGGAAACUCGAAUUAAUACCGCAUACGACCUACGGGAGAAAGGGGGCAACUUGUUGCUCUCGCUAUUAGAUGAGCCUAAGUCGGAUUAGCUAGAUGGUGGGGUAAAGGCCUACCAUGGCGACGAUCUGUAGCUGGUCUGAGAGGAUGAUCAGCCACACCGGGACUGAGACACGGCCCGGACUCCUACGGGAGGCAGCAGUGGGGAAUAUUGGACAAUGGGGGCAACCCUGAUCCAGCCAUGCCGCGUGUGUGAAGAAGGCCUUUUGGUUGUAAAGCACUUUAAGCAGUGAAGAGGACUCUAGGGUUAAUACCCCUAGACGAUGACAUUAGCUGCAGAAUAAGCACCGGCUAACUCUGUGCCAGCAGCCGCGGUAAUACAGAGGGUGCAAGCGUUAAUCGGAAUUACUGGGCGUAAAGCGAGCGUAGGUGGCUUGAUAAGUCAGAUGUGAAAUCCCCGGGCUUAACCUGGGAACUGCAUCUGAUACUGUUGAGCUAGAGUAGGUGAGAGGGAAGUAGAAUUCCAGGUGUAGCGGUGAAAUGCGUAGAGAUCUGGAGGAAUACC
rnacentral:rRNA from 1 species